rnacentral:rRNA from 1 species
UGGGGAAUAUUGCACAAUGGGCGCAAGCCUGAUGCAGCCAUGCCGCGUGUAUGAAGAAGGCCUUCGGGUUGUAAAGUACUUUCAGUCGGGAGGAAGGUGGUAAGGUUAAUAACCUUAUCAAUUGACGUUACCGACAGAAGAAGCACCGGCUAACUCCGUGCCAGCAGCCGCGGUAAUACGGAGGGUGCAAGCGUUAAUCGGAAUUACUGGGCGUAAAGCGCACGCAGGCGGUUGAUUGAGUCAGAUGUGAAAUCCCCGGGCUUAACCCGGGAAGUGCAUCUGAGACUGGUCAGCGAGAGGCUUGUAGAGGGGGGUAGAAGUCCAUGUGUAGCGGUGAAAUGCGUAGAGAUGUGGAGGAAUACCGGUGGCGAAGGCGGCCCCCUGGACAAAGACUGACGCUCAGGUGCGAAAGCGUGGGGAGCAAACAGG